rnacentral:rRNA from 1 species
CGAAAGUCUGACGGAGCGACGCUGCGUGAAGGAUGAAGGCCCGUGGGUUGUAAACUUCUUUUCUCGAAGAAGAAAAAAAUGACGGUAUUCGAGGAAUAAGCAUCGGCUAACUCUGUGCCAGCAGCCGCGGUAAGACAGAGGAUGCAAGUGUUAUUCGGAAUGAUUGGGCGUAAAGAGUCUGUAGGCGGUUUAGAAAGUCUUUUGUGAAAUACUUCAGCUCAACUGAGGCUCCGCAAAAGAAACUUCUAGACUUGAGGAAAGUAGAGGUACAGGGAAUUUCCGGUGGAGCGGUGAAAUGCGUAGAUAUCGGAAGGAACACCAAUAUGGCGAAGGCACUGUACUGGGCUUUUCCUGACGCUCAGAGACGAAAGCUGAAGGAGUGAUUAGGAUUAGAUACCCUAGUAAUUUCAGCCGUAAACGAUGAAAACUCACUGUCGAGCCAAUAUAUGGAGCGGUGGUCAAGCUAACGCGUGAAGUUUUCCGCCUGGGGAUUACGCUUGCAAAAGUGAAACUCAAAGGAAUUGACGGGGACCCGCACAAGCGGUGGAGUAUGUGGUUUAAUUCGAUGCAACGCGAAAAACCUUACCAGGGUUUGAAAUAAUUUCAAAACUUCUUGAAAGAGAAGCCUCCUUCGGGAUGGAAUUACAGGUGGUGCAUGGCUGUCGUCAGCUCGUGUUGUGAAAUGUCAAGUUAAGUCUUGUAACGAGCGCAACCCAUGUCUCUUGUUGCUGUUUACAGUGCUUAAGAGAAACUGCCGAUCAACAUCGGAGGAAGGUGUGGAUGAUGUCAAGUCAGCAUGCCCCUUACAUCCUGGGCUACACACGUACUACAAUGGUCGAGACAAAGGGUCGCUAACCUGCGAAGGUAUGCCAAUCUCAUAAACUCGAUCUCAGUUCGGAUUGUAC